UACGGGGGGGGCAAGCGUUGUUCGGAAUUACUGGGCGUAAAGCGCACGUAGGCGGCUUUCUAAGUCAGGGGUGAAAUCCUGGAGCUCAACUCCAGAACUGCCUUUGAUACUGGAGAGCUUGAGUCCGGGAGAGGUGAGUGGAACUCCGAGUGUAGAGGUGAAAUUCGUAGAUAUUCGGAAGAACACCAGUGGCGAAGGCGCUCACUGGCCCGGUACUGACGCUGAUGUGCGAAAGCGUGGGAGCAACAG
rnacentral:rRNA from 1 species